rnacentral:rRNA from 1 species
UGGGGAAUAUUGCGCAAUGGGCGAAAGCCUGACGCAGCGACGCCGCGUGAGGGACGAAGGCCUUCGGGUUGUAAACCUCUUUCAGCAGGGACGAAGCGAAAGUGACUGUACCUGCAGAAGAAGCACCGGCUAACUACGUGCCAGCAGCCGCGGUAAUACGUAGGGUGCGAGCGUUGUCCGGAAUUAUUGGGCGUAAAGAGCUCGUAGGCGGUCUGUCACGUCGGAUGUGAAAACUCGGGGCUCAACCCCGAGCCUGCAUUCGAUACGGGCAGACUAGAGUUCGGUAGGGGAGACUGGAAUUCCUGGUGUAGCGGUGAAAUGCGCAGAUAUCAGGAGGAACACCGGUGGCGAAGGCGGGUCUCUGGGCCGAUACUGACGCUGAGGAGCGAAAGCGUGGGGAGCGAACAGGAUUAGAUACCCCCGUAGUCC